AAUAAUUAUUUCAGACCAAAUUCAUCAUCUCAAAUUUUGUUAGCGCUCAACUCCCUUCUUCUUCCCUUACCUAAUUUCCCUGCGUCGUCCCUCGUCCCCUCAAAAAAAAACUUUCCCUGCGUCGUCAAUCUAGCUUCCUCGUUCGUGGUUCUCGCCUCCUUGCCAGUCGCCGGUAGGUCUCUUUUCUCGCGUCCUCUCCAGUCGCCACUUGUUAGCUUGCUCGGCCGGUGGUUCCAAGAAAAAACUUAGGUUGCUCGGCCGGUGGUUCCAAGAAAGAAGGUUGCUCGCGUCAUGUUCUCCGUCAAUCUCCUCGCCGCGGCAAGUGGAAGGGAGGGGUUGUUUGUCGAAAGAGGCUAAAAAUAGUGGUUUAGAGAUUCUGAAGCAGAAAAGGCUUCAGCGAAUCAAGUUAGAAACAGGAGUUCAGGGCACCACAGAAAACCCAAAUAAAAAUAAUAGUAGCAAUUUCAGUUGGAGUUGUGAGUGUUGCCAUUGGGAUUGGCAUUCCUGUUUUUUAUGAAACCCAGAUUAACAAUGUUGUAAUUCCCUUUUUCUCGUUUCUAAAUUUAAAGUUUCUAAUAGAGGCAUAAAAUACCACUGUGUGCUGUGCUCUGUAAUCAAGCUACUCAAUGUAAGCUCAUUAUUUUAGUGCGAUGAUUAAGUCACUGGUAUGAGUUUGCAAUUCGUUAUCUAAUUUGAUAAAUUGGACCAAAGAAGUACCAUUUUCAUGUUAUAAUUUGCUUUUUCGGUUCGCGGUUCGUGAAGUUAUUAGGGAAUGAGGUAACAUUGAGUUACUUAAGUGGGAGUCACAUUGGUUUCUUAAGAGCGACAACUAUUUAGGAACGUAUGAAGUUAGUUAAAGCGACAAAUAUUUAGGAACAAGGUAGCAUUAGGGUAAUAUAUCAGUUAAACUUCAUACAGAGCAUUACUUUGUAGUCAGUUUUCAUUUGCUACUUUCAAAUUAUAAUUUGCAGAUGUUUGUACCAAUGUUUGUAAAUUCAAUUCACAUAAUUUCUUGUUCAAACUUACAAGUUGAUGUUGUUUAUCUAAUAGGCCGCGUUCUUCGAUUCUCAAGUUAUUUUCUAAUUAAAAUUUUCAGUUCAGUUGAAAAAUGGAAAGAUAACAACAACAAAUUUAAGGAGAAAAACACAAGGUUCUUAGAGUAAUUUGCGAUUAUCAACACGAUCCCAUUUCUUUUGUUCUUUCGUUUGUGAAUGCGCAAAACAGAAAUAUGAUGAGAUUGAAUAUGUUCGCUUGUUGUAGGCAAAGCGAGAGAAUACACAACCUUGCUUUCCAUGCAACGGCUCUGGAGCUCGUUACAGAUUUUAAAAAGAGUUUGAAUACUAUAAAUUCUGCAUGUAAUGAGGUGCGAAAUUUUGGGAACUUGAAAUGGAUGCCCUGUGCUAGUAUUGAAAUUGCAGGAGCAGAAUGCAAUCAAUUAUCAGAAUAUUCAGAAACAUAAUGAUGAGCUUCUCAAAUAUAUAUCUGGAGUGACUAGAGAUCUGAAGGAAUGUGAACUUUCCCGUUUCAAGGAGAUUAUGUGCAGCAUAAAAACUUUACAUCAGAUUUCGCCCCUUACCAUUCUUCGGCCAAAAGUACUCAUCAUAUUCGUCAUCUAUGGGGCUAUGGGCUGUAACAUGUGGAGGAUAUAGAUCUCACUUUUCUAAAUGCUGCAGGUUUCUGCUGCUGGUUCUUCGUUACAGAAACCAUUCACAAUGAGGAUAAGAAACAGACAGUUAUUAUCAAUUUAGAUAACGAGACUGAUGAAGAUCUUUCUUGCUUAAUAGUUGAAAAGGAAUCAGAUAUUAAUUUUAUGGACGAAUUGGAGCUAGACACUGCAAAAAUCCUUAGAAAAGCCAGAAGAAGAAAGAGAAAACAAAAUUGUAAAAGAUUAUUCCUAACUCAAAGAAAGUGAAGGUCUAUACUACGAGGAAUGCGCCUUAUGCUAGUGAGGAAAUUGAUGUGGUUCGUGAGCAAUUGGCUAAGUUUUUUACCAGCAAGUAUUUAUUAUUGGCCUGAGCGCGUUUGAUCGAGUUGGCUUAGAUGUUAUAGAACAAUAUUUUAUAUUAAAAAGUAUGCGUACAUUGAAAUUGGAACGUACAUAUAUUUAAAUGUACUACAUGCACUUUUUUUGGGAUAUAUAGUAUACAAAACACCAGGAUUGCGAUAUUA